rnacentral:rRNA from 1 species
UACGUAGGGGGCAAGCGUUGUCCGGAAUCAUUGGGCGUAAAGCGCGUGUAGGCGGCCCUCUAAGUCAGACGUGAAAUCCCUCGGCUCAACCGGGGAACUGCGUCUGAGACUGGAAGGCUUGAAUUCGGGAGAGGGAUGUGGAAUUCCAGGUGUAGCGGUGAAAUGCGUAGAUAUCUGGAGGAACACCGGUGGCGAAGGCGGCAUCCUGGACCGAGAUUGACGCUGAUGCGCGAAAGCCAGGGGAGCAAACGGG